CCUACGGGAGGCAGCAGUAGGGAAUCUUCCACAAUGGGCGAAAGCCUGAUGGAGCAACGCCGCGUGAGUGAAGAAGGAUUUCGGUUCGUAAAACUCUGUUGUAAGGGAAGAACAAGUACAGUAGUAACUGCCGGUACCUUGACGGUACCUGACCAGAAAGCCACGGCUAACUACGUGCCAGCAGCCGCGGUAAUACGUAGGUGGCAAGCGUUGUCCGGAAUUAUUGGGCGUAAAGCGCGCGCAGGCGGUUCCUUAAGUCUGAUGUGAAAGCCCCCGGCUCAACCGGGGAGGGUCAUUGGAAACUGGGGAACUUGAGUGCAGAAGAGGAGAGCGGAAUUCCACGUGUAGCGGUGAAAUGCGUAGAGAUGUGGAGGAACACCAGUGGCGAAGGCGGCUCUCUGGUCUGUAACUGACGCUGAGGCGCGAAAGCGUGGGGAGCGAACAGGAUUAGAUACCCUGGUAGUCCACGCCGUAAACGAUGAGUGCUAAGUGUUAGAGGGUUUCCGCCCUUUAGUGCUGCAGCAAACGCAUUAAGCACUCCGCCUGGGGAGUACGGCCGCAAGGCUGAAACUCAAAGGAAUUGACGG
rnacentral:rRNA from 1 species